UAAGGAAUAUUGGUCAAUGGGCGGAAGCCUGAACCAGCCAUCCCGCGUGCAGGAUGACUGCCCUAUGGGUUGUAAACUGCUUUUAUCUGGGAAUAAACCACUCUAUUUAUGGGGUGUUGAAGGUACCAGAAGAAUAAGCACCGGCUAACUCCGUGCCAGCAGCCGCGGUAAUACGGAGGGUGCAAGCGUUAUCCGGAAUCACUGGGUUUAAAGGGUGCGUAGGCGGCUUUAUAAGUCAGAGGUGAAAGGCUACAGCUUAACUGUGGAAUUGCCUUUGAUACUGUGAAGCUUGAAUAAGGAUGAGGUUGGCGGAAUGUGGCAUGUAGCGGUGAAAUGCAUAGAUAUGCCAUAGAACACCAAUUGCGAAGGCAGCUGACUGGACCUUUAUUGACGCUGAGGCACGAAAGCGUGGGGAUCAAACAGG
rnacentral:rRNA from 1 species